CCAGCAUUAAACCAUGAGAGUUGGCCAUCCUCACCAUGAUACAUGUCCUCUGAGUAGUAUCUGCUUGUAAUUUUCCCAUCUAACUCACACUCAUCCCCAUCUGAUUCAGCAAUCUGAACUUUACGGAGGCGAACCAACCCAUUGAUGCCUACACCAUUCUGCUCCUUUUCCAUCUCGUCAUCCUCAGGAAUAGCAUCAAGCAUUCCAUGCCUCGAUACUUUCCUUAUCGGACUGACCAAAAUUGUCUUAGUCAAUAUCACCGGCACACCCCCACAGCAACCAGCAAUAUAAACUUCAAUGGCAGGCGCCGAAAAGCCCAUCUUCGGUUGGAAAAACACAGAGUUUCCCUCCCCCACAGAAGUCGCCAUGUAACACUCCAUGCUCCAUCCUGUCUUCGAAUCAUUUUCCAGUCCCACGCUCCCAUUCCCCCAAACGGCUUCUAUUCUCUCCAGGGACCCACAUAAAA
rnacentral:misc_RNA from 1 species